rnacentral:rRNA from 1 species
UACGUAGGGGGCAAGCGUUGUCCGGAUUUAUUGGGCGUAAAGAGCGUGUAGGCGGCCAGACAGGUCCGUUGUGAAAACUGGAGGCUCAACCUCCAGACGUCGAUGGAAACCGUCUGGCUAGAGUCCGGAAGAGGAGAGUGGAAUUCCUGGUGUAGCGGUGAAAUGCGCAGAUAUCAGGAAGAACACCCGUGGCGAAAGCGGCUCUCUGGGACGGUACUGACGCUGAGACGCGAAAAGCGUGGGGAGCGAACAGG